GAUGAACGCUGGCGGCGUGCCUAAUACAUGCAAGUCGAGCGAACAGAUGAGGAGCUUGCUCCUCUGACGUUAGCGGCGGACGGGUGAGUAACACGUGGAUAACCUACCUAUAAGACUGGGAUAACUUCGGGAAACCGGAGCUAAUACCGGAUAAUAUAUUGAACCGCAUGGUUCAAUAGUGAAAGACGGUUUUGCUGUCACUUAUAGAUGGAUCCGCGCCGCAUUAGCUAGUUGGUAAGGUAACGGCUUACCAAGGCAACGAUGCGUAGCCGACCUGAGAGGGUGAUCGGCCACACUGGAACGGAGACACGGUCCAGACUCCGACGGGAGGCAGCAGUAGGGAAUCUUCCGCAAUGGGCGAAAGCCUGACGGAGCAACGCCGCGUGAGUGAUGAAGGUCUUCGGAUCGUAAAACUCUGUUAUUAGGGAAGAACAAAUGUGUAAGUAACUAUGCACGUCUUGACGGUACCUAAUCAGAAAGCCACGGCUAACUACGUG
rnacentral:rRNA from 1 species